GCUGAGAUGGCUCAGCCAGUAGAGCAUGAGACUGUUAAUUUCAGGGUCAUGAGUUCGAGCCCCACACUGGACA